AUUGAACGCUGGCGGCAGGCCUAACACAUGCAAGUCGAGCGGAUGACGGGAGCUUGCUCCUUGAUUCAGCGGCGGACGGGUGAGUAAUGCCUAGGAAUCUGCCUGGUAGUGGGGGACAACGUUUCGAAAGGAACACUAAUACCGCAUACGUCCUACGGGAGAAAGCAGGGGACCUUCGGGCCUUGCGCUAUCAGAUGAGCCUAGGUCGGAUUAGCUAGUAGGUGAGGUAAUGGCUCACCUAGGCGACGAUCCGUAACUGGUCUGAGAGGAUGAUCAGGCACACUGGAACUGAGAACCGGUCCAGACUCCUACGGGAGGCAGCAGUGGGGAAUAUUGGACAAUGGGCGAAAGCCUGAUCCAGCCAUGCCGCGUGUGUGAAGAAGGUCUUCGGAUUGUAAAGCACUUUAAGUUGGGAGGAAGGGCAGUAAGCUAAUACCUUGCUGUUUUGACGUUACCGACAGAAUAAGCACCGGCUAACUCUGUGCCAGCAGCCGCCGUAAGAC
rnacentral:rRNA from 1 species